AUGGGGCUCUUCUCCAGCAGCGGCAGCAAGUCCAAGGGCAAGGCCCCCGUCGUCCCCUUCCCCGCGGAGUUCACCCCGCCUCCGCCUGCGCCGGCUCGCCGGCAGAGGCAGCGGGUGAACGUGCCCGUGCACCAGGCCGAGUGGCACUGGUGCCACCGCGUGCCGCUGCCCUAUCCCGAGAUGACACUGCCGCAUGGCUGGCAUCUGGAUCCGGAAAGGAUCCCAGUGCCGGUGGCGCCACGGUUGGCUAGGACGCAUGCGGAGGAGGUACGCCGCCGGCGGGCGCUCCUGCCGCUAGAGCAGCGCCGCGAUGAGGCGUACGCCUUCGACUCGCCCAACUGGGCGCGCUGGUUCGCCUUCGAGCACGAGGAGGCGAGGCGUCGCAGCGUGCGAGAACGCCUACCAGGCGGCCCUUGCGGCCGUCUACCGGGAGAGCGAGGAGGACAAGCGGCGCAGGGCGGAGGCGGCAGAAGAGGAAGAGGCUCGGUACGAGGCGACAUGGGGCAGGCCAUGGCCCUCUUCGCGGCCGGCGACUACGUGGUGCCGCCGGUGGCGUCGUCGUCCCCUCCCCGACGCCUCGUCAAGGCUGACUUGGAGCCGCAGCCGGAGCCGCAGCCGGGCUCCAUCGCGAGCUUCUCCUGGACGGGAGUGGUGCGCGAGUGGGUGUCCGCACCACCGGUUUGGAUGGAGGCGACCCUGGCGCAGGAGGCGGCGUACCUCGAGCACUGGCGCCAGCGACGGCUGGCCGAGGAGCGGCGUCAAGGCGAGUACGAAGAGAUGCUCGAGCGCGACCUCGAGGAGGAGGCGCGCGAGGCUGAGGAGGAGGCACGCCAGGCCGCGGCUGCACAGGCGGCGGCACAGCCCCCUGCGCCGGAACUACCCCCCGGGCCGACACUACCCCCCGCUGGAACAGAUACCCCUGGACUACGUCGCCGCUGCAUGGGCCAUGGCGUUCCCCUGGGCCGGCCCUCCGCCGACGCUCAUCGACCUCACCGACCCCGAGGACGACGACGACAACGACGCCUAAGGUGCGCUAGACAGCGCGCCGCCUCGUAG
rnacentral:rRNA from 1 species